AAGGACCCCGGGAGGGGAGUGAAAGAGAACCUGAAACCCUGUGUUUACAAUCUGUGGAAGGUCUUUAUAUGACCAACCGCGUACUUUUUGUAGAACGGUCCGGCGAGUUACGCGUACUGGCAAGGUUAAGUGCUUAAGGCACGGAGCCGAAGCGACAGCGAGUCUUAACUGGGCGGUAAGUCAGUACGAGUAGACCCGAAACCGGGUGAUCUAUCCAUGUCCAGGAUGAAGAUGCCGUAAAAGGCAUUGGAGGUCCGAAGCCACAUCCGUUGAAAAGGGUGGGCAUGAGGUGUGGAUAGGGGAGAAAUUCCAAUCGAACCCGGAGAUAGCUGGUUCUCCUCGAAAUAGCUUUAGGGCUAGCCUCGUUUUAGUCUUAUGGAGGUAGAGCACUGAAUUUCCGCGGGGGCGUCAAAGCUUACCAAAGAAUAUCAAACUCCGAAUGCCAUGUAGAUGAUGAACGGGAGUCAGACUGCACGAGAUAAGUUGGGCGGUCAAAAGGGAAAGAGCCCAGACCACCGGCUAAGGUCCCAAAGUGUGUGUUAAGUGGAAAAGGAUGUGGGAAUUCGAAGACAACUAGGAUGUUGGCUCAGAAGCAGCCAUACAUUCAAAGAGUGCGUAACAGCUCACUAGUCGAGAGUCCCUGCGCCGAAAAUGUCCGGGGCUGAAACACAACACCGAAGCCGUGGACUCCGUAAGGAGUGGUAGAGGAGCAUUCUUAAAACCGACGAAGCUGUACCGGUAAGGAGCAGUGGAGGGAUAAGAAGAGAGAAUGCCGGAAUGAGUAGCGAGAGGAAGGUGGGAAUCCUUCCGGCCGAAUAUCUAAGGUUUCCAGAGUAAAGCUGAUCUGCUCUGGGUAAGUCGGGGCCUAAGGAGAGGUCGCAAGACGUAUCCGAUGGACAACAGGUUUAGAUUCCUGUACCGCAUAUAAACAGAACUGUGGGGACGCAUGUGGAAAGCAUAAGCCGGGAAUGGAAAGACCGGUACAAGCGAGGUAGGUGUGUGACAGGCAAAUCCGUCAUAUAAGCCGAAGACGUGAUGUGGAGCGAAAUUAAGUAGUGAAGUAUGUGAGCCAUGUGCCGAGAAAAGCCGCUAUUGUUUUAUAUGUGCCCGUACCGUAAACCGACACAGGUGGAUGAGGAGAGAAUCCUAAGGCCGACGGAAGAAGCAUUGUUAAGGAACUCGGCAAAAUGACCCCGUAACUUCGGGAGAAGGGGUGCCCACUUCAGGGUGGGCCGCAGAGAAUAGGCUCAAGCAACUGUUUAGCAAAAACACAGGUCUAUGCGAAACCGAAAGGUGAAGUAUAUGGGCUGACGCCUGCCCGGUGCUGGAAGGUUAAGAGGAGAGGUUAGCGCAAGCGAAGCUUUGAAUUUAAGCCCCAGUAAACGGCGGCCGUAACUAUAACGGUCCUAAGGUAGCGAAAUUCCUUGUCGGGUAAGUUCCGACCCGCACGAAAGGCGUAAUGAUUUGAGCACUGUCUCGACAAUGCAUCCGGUGAAAUUGAAGUACCAGUGAAGAUGCUGGUUACCCGCGCCAGGACGGAAAGACCCCAUGGAGCUUUACUCCAGUUUGAUACUGGGAUUCGGUACUGCACGUACAGGAUAGGUGGGAGACUGAGAACUAUGGACGCCAGUCUGUAGGGAGUCGCUGUUGGGAUACCACCCCUGUAGUACUGGGUUUCUAACCAGCUGCCGUGAACCGGCAGUGGGACAAUGUCAGGCGGGGAGUUUGACUGGGGCGGUCGCCUCCGAAAGGGUAUCGGAGGCGCUCAAAGGUUCCCUCAGAAUGGUCGGAAACCAUUUGAAGAGUGCAAAGGCAGAAGGGAGCUUGACUGCGACACCGACGGGUGGAGCAGGUACGAAAGUAGGACUUAGUGAUCCGGUGGUAUAAAGUGGGAUUGCCAUCGCUCAACGGAUAAAAGCUACCCUGGGGAUAACAGGCUUAUCACUCCCAAGAGUUCACAUCGACGGAGUGGUUUGGCACCUCGAUGUCGGCUCAUCGCAUCCUGGGGCUGUAGCAGGUCCCAAGGGUUGGGCUGUUCGCCCAUUAAAGCGGUACGCGAGCUGGGUUCAG
rnacentral:rRNA from 1 species